ensembl:lncRNA
GUUUUGUGCAUGCAAGUUUGCAAGGAACAAGGACCUGAUCUUGUAUAAGAAGAUUAUUAGCCAUUUUCCAUGCUGUUUUCAGCCCAAGCGCUCAGGGCAAGGGGUGUUUAUAGGAAAUUUCUCCAAGUGGAUAUUGAACUGAUAUGACACUGCAUAUUGCAAAUCUUCUCCUUAUGGGCAUCAGUUGAAGGCAUGUGCCUUCAUGAUGUUUGCGUUGCUGCCUGCACAUCACUAUGUGUCUUCUCCAUCAGCUUCAGGGUUAACAUCACUCCUCCCACUGAUCUGGUGUUUGUGCGUGGUGGCAGCAUUGAUGCAGCCUGGAGAAAAGGGAAAGAUGAAGAAAUAACAACUGUGUUUACAUGCAAAAUAAUCUGUUAACUGAAAAUAAUCAGAUUUUGGCAGUAAUUUGGUAAUAAUUCAUGCAUUUCCAUGAACAUAAUUUGAGAAUAAGAAUAAGGGAAAAGUAAAGGACUACACAAAGAUGUGAGAUGAGAAGAUGGAUGGAGAUGGAGGUUUGUGGAAGAGAAAAUGGAACUAAACAGAAAAUGGCAGGUAGGAUGUGUAUAUGUGCGCGCAGAUGUGUGUGUGAGAGUGUGCAUGUGUGUGUGUGUGUGUGUGUGUGUGUGUGUGUGUGUGAGAGAGAGAGAGAGAGAGAGAGAGAGAGAGAGAGAGAGAGAGAGAGAGAGAGAGAGAAGGAGAGAGAGAAAGAGGAAAGGAAAGAAAGGAAAGAAGUAUAUGAAGCAUAGUGAAAUGAGCAAACCACAGAGAAGCCAGUUCUAGAAACAAAGGACCAGGGUGAUGCAUGGUAUAUGGAGGGUAUAAAUAUAUAGAGGUAGUGUUGAAGAACGGAUUAGAGAAAAAAGGAACAAAUGAAAGAGUAAGAAUCAGCAGAAGGUGGUUUUGCGGUCCUGAAGCCUAACGUGUGGAGGAGGGAGGAAGGGAGGGAGGCUGGGGAUGGGAGGGCUAGAUCAAUAACUAAUUUCAGUACUGGGCCUUAGUCGGACUGCUUUCCAAUAAGCCCUGGACAUAACGAGUUAGCUUGAAUAGCUGUGCGACUCUCUCUCUCCUUCUCUCUGCAUUACUCUCUCUCUUUCUAUCUUUCUGUUUGUCUCUCUCACUCAAUCCCCCUCCCUUUCUCUCUGCUUCUUGUCUCUCAGGGCCUGGUGCUGGCAAUGGCUGGAUCGAUCGGCUUCUCUCUCAUUCUCUC